rnacentral:rRNA from 1 species
CCAGACUCCUACGGGAGGCAGCAGUGAGGAAUAUUGGUCAAUGGGCGAGAGCCUGAACCAGCCAAGUAGCGUGCAGGACGACGGCCCUAUGGGUUGUAAACUGCUUUUUAAGGUGAAUAAAGAGGGGCACGCGUGCCCUGUUGCAUGUAGCCUUGGAAUAAGGACCGGCUAAUUCCGUGCCAGCAGCCGCGGUAAUACGGAAGGUCCGGGUGUUAUCCGGAUUUAUUGGGUUUAAAGGGAGCGUAGGCCGCAGGUUAAGUGUGUUGUGAAAAGCAGUCGCCCAACGUCUGCCUUGCAGCGCAAACUGUCCUGCUUGAGUGCGCACAACGCAGGCGGAAUUCGUCGUGUAGCGGUGAAAUGCUUAGAUAUGACGAAGAACUCCGAUUGCGAAGGCAGCUUGCGGGAGCGCAACUGACGCUGAAGCUCGAAAGUGCGGGUAUCGAACAGGAUUAGAUACCCUGGUAGUCCGCACGGUAAACGCUGGAUGCCCGUUUUUGGCUUAUUUUAAGUCAGAGACCAAGCGAAAGCAUUAAGCAUCCCACCUGGGGAGUACGCCGGCAACGGUGAAACUCAAAGGAAUUGACGGGGCCCGCACAAG